UACGUAGGGGGCAAGCGUUGUCCGGAUUUAUUGGGCGUAAAGAGCGUGUAGGCGGCCAUGCAGGUCCGUUGUGAAAACUCGAGGCUCAACCUCGAGACGCCGAUGGAAACCGCAUGGCUAGAGUCCGGAAGAGGAGAGUGGAAUUCCUGGUGUAGCGGUGAAAUGCGCAGAUAUCAGGAAGAACACCCGUGGCUAAGGCGGCUCUCUAGUACGGUACUGACGCUAAGGCGCGAAAGCGUGGGGAGCGAACAGG
rnacentral:rRNA from 1 species